rnacentral:siRNA from 1 species
AGCAUUACAACCACACCGUGUGA